UACGUAGGGGGCAAGCGUUGUCCGGAUUUAUUGGGCGUAAAGAGCGUGUAGGCGGCUUUGCAAGUCCGUUGUGAAAACUCGAGGCUCAACCUCGAGACGCCGGUGGAAACUGCAAAGCUAGAGUCCGGAAGAGGAGAGUGGAAUUCCUGGUGUAGCGGUGAAAUGCGCAGAUAUCAGGAGGAACACCGGUGGCGAAGGCGGAUCUCUGGGCCUUACCUGACGCUGAGGCGCGAAAGCUAGGGGAGCAAACAGG
rnacentral:rRNA from 1 species